GUGCUCGCUUUGGCAACACAUAUACUAAAAUUGGAAUGAUACAGAGAAGAUUAGUAUAGCCCCUGAACAAGGAAGAAACGCAAAUUCAUGAAGCAUUCCAUAUUUUU
ensembl:snRNA U6 U6 spliceosomal RNA